GAUGAAGAACGCAGCGAAAUGCGAUAAGUAAUGUGAAUUGCAGAAUUCAGUGAAUCAUCGAAUCUUUGAACGCACAUUGCGCCCGCCAGUAUUCUGGCGGGCAUGCCUGUCCGAGCGUCAUUUCAACCCCCGAACCCCUCCGGGGGGUCGGCGUUGGGGAUCGGCCCUCCCUUAGCGGGUGGCCGUCUCCGAAAUACAGUGGCGGUCUCGCCGCAGCCUCUCCUGCGCAGUAGUUUGCACACUCGCAUCGGGAGCGCGGCGCGUCCACAGCCGUUAAACACCCAACUUCUGAAAUGUUGACCUCGGAUCAGGUAGGAAUACCCGCUGAACUUAAGCAUAUCAAUAAGCGGACGA
rnacentral:misc_RNA from 1 species